GACGAACGCUGGCGGCGUGCUUAACACAUGCAAGUCGAACGGUGAACCUCUUCGGAGGGGAUCAGUGGCGAACGGGUGAGUAACACGUGGGCAACCUGCCCCCGGCUCUGGGAUAACUCCAAGAAAUUGGGGCUAAUACCGGAAGUUCACCGCUUCCCGCAUGGGGGGUGGUGGAAAGGGUUUCCGGCUGGGGAUGGGCCCGCGGCCUAUCAGCUUGGUGGUGGGGUAGUGGCCUACCAAGGCGACGACGGGUAGCCCGCCUGAGAGGGUGACCGGCCACACUGCGCCUGCGACACGGCCCAGACUCCUACGGGACGCAGCAGGGGGGAAUAUUGCGCAACGGGCGGACGCCUGACGCAGCGACGCCGCGUUGGGGAUGCCGGCCUUCGGGUUGUAAACCUCUUUCAGCAGGGACGUAGCGCAAGUGACGGUACCUGCAGAAGAAGCACCGGCCAACUACGUG
rnacentral:rRNA from 1 species